GGAGGGGGAAAACCCCGCCUAGUAAUAAGGAGGAAUUCCUGUGAUUGCAGUUCAGGCUCUGAGCAUGAUUUGCCCUUUCUGGGUUAUGUGACAGCGUUAUCAUAUCACUGCUCUUGCUUCAUGUACAGAAGGAGGUGGUUUCUGUUGACUUUUCUGGUUAAACAUCCAUUUGGCUGUCUGGUUUGUGAUUCCGUGUGGGUGUUUCUGUGAAUGGCUCUGCGCACCUGUGUUUGUUCCUUCUCUGCUGAUUGUCUCUUAGUGGGGAAGUGAGGCAGAAGGAAGCUGUGUGUAAGGACUUCCAGAAGCAGAAGGGAUGGUGGCUGGUGUGGAAAACGUGGUAUCAGCAGAACAGCUGAAACCCGGGGCUGAAGGCCAGCCAAAUAGGAUAGAACCUUACUGGAAGAAAACAUGUUGACUCAAGCAAUUGGGUCAAGUCUUUGUUUUGUUUGGCUUGAGAAAUUCCUGAGGAAUCCUGGUGUUUUUCUCUUCCCUCAAAAGCUGUGCUUUUCACUUUUCAUUCUUAGAUUGCCAGGCACCCAUCAAAGUAGGUGAGGAUCUUUUCAAUAGAUGGAGUAGAUGAGUUAUGGAAUCUAAAUAGAUUAGGGAAGAACCAAAGAAAGUAAUUGACGGAGGAAGGUCUGCUUACGUGGAGUUUGCUGAGUGGGCAGAGAGGUUUCAUUUCAGUUUUUUCCCUAUUGUUCAGAGGGGAACUGUGACUAUGGCAGAGAAGAGGCUGAAGGAAGCUUAUGAGCGCAAGCAAGUCAGAUCUGAUUGUCUUGUAGCUAACAGGACUCACAGGUGGUUUUUGUGCUUUUAUGCAGCGUUGCACCCACAAGUCCUGCAUUAGGCAAAACUGGUAAUGGGAAAGCUUUUAUGUUGCUUCUUUAAUUUACCUGCAGGACUGACAGCAGAUGGGUACCAAAUCUGCUGAGAAAUCUCUGUAUGGCUUUGACACAGCUUCUCCGUAUGCAGCCAACAAAGGUACAGUUCCGAGGCAGUGCUUUGAAAUGCAGAAAAAUCCUUCUGGAGCACGUCAUGGAGAGCUGUUCACACAAAUUCAGAGGGAAGGAAGUGGUGUGAGCGUGAUAGCCGGAAGGAAAUACAGCUCAAGUCAUCGUCAGCAGAGGAGCAGGGCAGCAAAGCUGUCCCCAGUCCAUCAAACAGAAGGUCCAUGAGGACAUCGCAUUUAUGCCAUGCAGAUGGUCAAAGCAGAGUGCUGAGUGAUGAACGGUUUGGAGAAAGUUAAACGCUGUGAUUGUGACCGAGAGUAGGUUAUAAUGUGCAAGAGAAGUAUUUGGAGCAUCCAGGUUAGUAUAACAAAGAACAACCAGGAGAGUUUAAGAAUGUGCAUCUGGUUGCGUCGUCGCUCCUAUUCUUAGGAAAUGAGGUGUGGGUUUGGGGCUAUUUUUAAAAGCUGCAGCUCUGACCCUUUGCCUUGGGGAGAGGAGGAAAUUAGAGGCUUUAAAGGCACUCCUCCACCUCCUCCCUUGCUUCUCUGAAGCCUUGCUGGAGUUACAACCAGUUUUCCUCAGCUGGGCGGAGGGGACAUCUGGUAGCAAUGAUUCCUGUGUUGCCUUUAUGCUGCUUGCUCUUACUACUGCUGCUAUUUGCAGUUUCAGUUGGAUGCUUAGGCUGGAAGUGUUGAUCGGAGCUGUUAGCCUGGCACAGCUGCAGUAAAGCUCUCUCUGGUGUUUUCUGGUGGUGUCCUAGAUCUUCAGCUUCCUAUUUUAAUUUCUGUAGCAUGAAACAUUAAGGGGUAGAUGUGAUGGAUGGCAGCAGAGCUGUGUGCAGCCGGAUUGCAGGUCUGGCAGGCGUGCAUCUGCCUGAAGAGCACUUGGAGCUCCACAGAGAAGUGGGCGUGCAAAGGACCCCAUGUGUUUGUAGUUCAUUGGUGCUGUGUCAGAAGGGGUGAUGGGUUCCUUCCGGAUUCCCUCUCUCUAAUUAGUUUUUGUUAUGAAGCUUUCUAUUCAUUGGAUUUAUCAUGUUUAUUCAGUGGCAAGUUUCUGAAGCCAAAGAGUGAACUAAUGGUGAGACAUCCCAGAGGUGCAAGCAGAAGCGGAAUACUUUCCUGUUUUGAUUUGCCUCAAAUAUAAUGUCCAGAUAAUUUCUUCACAUGGUUUUCUUGAAGCUGCUUGCCUCGAAGUUACAAGAGGCAUUUCCUGAGCUCAGUGCUCUGCUCAGCUCCUUCUGGGACAUUGUUGAGUAGUGGAACUGAAGCGUUCUUCUGUUAACGCUGGUUCAAUCCAACAUUUUUCUUAGACCUUAUGAAGUCGGGGAGAGUCAUGAGGCUGCCUCAUUCUAUUAAUUAGAAUGGAAGAUUGUUAAAUUUGCACCACGUGUGAGGGAAAUGGUGAUUUAUGGCUAACGGCUGCUGUGCGGGCGGCUGCCUUCCAUCUGCUACACACAUUUUCCCAUUGCAUUUUGAUGACGAGUCUUGGGCAAAGCCUCACACCUGUAUUCCUCACUCUGAGUAACGCUCUCCUCUGCUGCUUUUUCCUCUUGCCUGCAUUAUUCUCUUGAGUCAAACACCUGUUUCUAUCAGCAUGCACUUUUUUCCUUCAAACUUCAAAGCUGAAUGUGUCUGCAGCACACCUCAGUGUACACACAGGUUGUGUUUGUACCAAAGACAGUCGAUGCAAGAGUGCCUUGUUCCUUAGGCUCUAGUGAAUGAACACCUUGUUUUAUUUAGUGUAACUUCUGAGAGAAAAGAAAAGGCUUGCUUAAAGUUUUAGAACUUUUCUGCCAACAUCAACUUUUUCUAAUUCUUCUGAGCUAGAGAAGUGCUGAUAUGAACUGUAUGAAUUCCGUGGGGGUGGGAGCCCACGGAGCCUGCAGGGCACGCACUGCGUUUGGGAGCCUGGGAUGUGAGUUACUGCUGCAGUGAUCAGCAGCUGAGCCGCUCAGAAUUGUUCCCCAGCAGUCAGCCAACCUGCGUCCAGCAGCUCCAUGUCCCUGGGGAGCAACAGCAACCACGAGAGUUGUAUCCCAGCCUGAUAAAAUUAGGUCUUCUGUAAUCUCUCUCAGGGCAGCCGGAUGGCUGGCUGCCUUCAAAAACAUAUGUUUGAAUGCAGGAGUAAUGCAUUCCAUUUCGGAUGGCUGUAGCCGUGGGAGCUGGGUGACUUAGUGGAUAAAGUGCUCCCAUUUUGCCUCUGGGAUCAGGACUGAUGUCAGACAUCAGGUCUAAAGUGCAGCACUGGAAAAGGAUUGUUUGGGAUGCUUUUCCUCUCCUUUGCCACUGUACCUUAGUCAUAAAGGAUUUGGAGAACAAAAUCUUCCUGUUGUUGGAAAUAAAGCACGUAUUGCAAAGAGGACUUAGCUACAACCUAGAAAUACACACGCUCGUUCUGCAUUAAGAGUAUGUACUUUGGAAUAGCAGUGCUUUUGUUCCUCUCAUGUAAGUCCAUAAUACAUUUCUCUCUGAGCAGCACAGGGGAAAGAAGUGUUGGUUGUUUCUUGUCCCUGCGCCUCCUGGCAGCUCCUGCACUGAGGGAAGCCAUUGCAGCCAUGCAGCUCUAAUGCAGGCACUGCUGUUCUGCUGGGAAUUGGUGGAUCACAUCAUACUCCACUGUCUGUUGCUGAAUUUCAUCAAAGGAAGCCAAGGAUAAGUAUUUUUCUGCUAUGAGUUUUCCCUGUGCUCAGUAGCUGCAGUGCCAGGAGGAUGGCUGGUGCUGUGCAGGUGGCAGCGAGCUGUGGGUCCAGGUUCCUGGGAAAUGUAGGGUUGGGUGAGGCUGUGUUAAGGAAACUUUUGUGUUGCUGCUGUCUCACCUGUACUACCUUCAGUGCAUCAGCUUUUCAUUUAGAGUGCUGACUGAUUUUUGAAAUGAAGAACCUUUUCAAAUGUGAAGCACCUUUUCUGGAAAUUCUGUAACCUCCUGGCUGAGAACAGUGAUGAAUGCACAUAUGUCACUGUGGGGCUCCUGAUAAGAGUGCUUUCCUUGCCCUGUCGUCACGUCUUCAUCGUCACCUUUCCCUGUAAUUACCCACUGGGAGCUGUACGUGCUUCUGGAAGCAGUGAUCACACAGAUAUGUGUGAUCACAUUUUGCCCAGCCAAAAAAAACCUUGGGGGAGGGGAAGAGGCUUUGAAGUUUUCUGGUCACUUUCUAGAAAGAGCGAUGUGCAAAGUGGAAUGGUUGUAGAGGUCACUCUCUGCCUUUCUGAGGAGAAGGUGAGAUGUGUCCCUUACAGCUCUGUGCUGAGCAGCUGAGCUCCUGCCACACCGUGCACCAUCACUGGGCAGUGAGCAGGGAGCAGGGAGCUGUGAGCAUUGAGCAGCAGCGUUCCUCCCAGGAGCUGGCAGUGACACGGCACAUUCCAGGCACUGCUUAUUCACCCUGUGCUGGAGAGAGCAACAUCAGGUGAUCGAAGGGAGAUAAGAGUGCCUCGAUCCUCUUCCGUGCUUCUGGUGGAGGAAUAAACAGAGCUUCCAUCUUCCGUUUGUGCUUCUGGAUGGAGAGGGGUGCUGCUGGGAGAUUUGCUUCUCACACACCUUCCUGUGAGUGCUGUGCAGUGCCCUCACCCCACAGCCACAUCUCCUUACAGAGCUUCUGGCAGCAGGGUUGGAUCCCACCUCAUUGUGUUUCAUCACCAACAGCCCAAAGUCUCAGCUGUGUGCUUUGUGGAGCUGUGAGCUGCAGGGGAUCAUUGAUUAAGCUUUUAAGAAUGUAUGUUUCCUUUUCCACAAAGAGGAAGUCGAGUCAUUUACUUCAUUCAUGUGUGCAGCAAAAUGUUGGUUGUAAACCAAAUUUAUGAAUUAUUUUUGUAAGGUUAUUAAAACUUUACUGGCAGUCCUGAAGAAAACACUGGACAACACAGUGAAGGUGUGGUGUUAGCAAAAAGUAGAUCUCAGGGUGCUCAUGUCAAUGGUUUGGGGUUUUUUUUCAGACUGAGACCUGUGUUUAUUCUUAGGGCAGAAACUUUAAGUGAUCCCUUGUGGAUUAAAAAGAAGAAAAAAAAAGCAAACAAUUCGUAUUGUAAUUAGAAUGAAAACCUCCACUUCUACACAAUGUCGGAUUGGAAAUCGCUCCAGUGAAAAGGGGGAAGUGUUGUUUUCAGUUUGCAGGCAGGAAGCUGGGAUGCUGAGCAGAGCUCAACAGCAGAGCAGAGCUCAGCCCCAGCUUUGUGCAGCCGGCUGCCUGAUGGCUGGCCAGGGAAGAGCUGGGAAGAUGCAGCCUGGUAAGUGCUGUGUGUCUGCACAGCGUGCUGAGCCCUCCUGUCCCUGCACACUCAGGUAAUCUCAAGUUCAGCACUGACCGUGGUGGUGUGUUUGGGCUGAGCUCAUUGGUACAGUCUGUAUCUGUGGAAUUGCCCCUCUCUGCUUUAAGUUCUUGAGUCCCUCUUGAAAGUUUCCCGAAUUAAAAAAGUAUCUAUUUAUAUCCUGUUUUGUAGGGAAAAAGUCAAUUAUUGAGUCCUAAAACAGGAGAAUCACGGAUGAAGAAAAAGCAAAUGAGUCAGAUAUAAAUAAUCCUAUUAUGUCUUGGCUGCUGCCACACCUAGAAACCUUGAACAAACACUGCUGUUCUGCCUGGCCAUUCCUGUGUUUGAUACACUUUACUUGUUAAGUCCUGUUUAAAAUUGCAGCAUGUACAAAUGGCGUAAGGCUGCUCACCAUGAGUGUGAAAUACUUCAGAAAGUUGCUUUGGUCACUUUGAGCACAGACGCAGAUGUCUGAGCACAGCAAGUUUGCUGUCAUUGUUCCCCCAAAAUCGGGAAGAUCCAGAAUCUCAGAGGUGCUGUUGCUGUCGAGGGCUCUCAGAGCAGUUCUUUUAUUGCUGUGGGCCUUUGGAAAAGAGA